rnacentral:piRNA from 1 species
UGAAAAUAUCAACAUCCUACAGCUCACAUCU